rnacentral:rRNA from 1 species
CCCGCGUCCCAUCAGCUAGUUGGUAGGGUAAUGGCCUACCAAGGCUACGACGGGUAGCUGGUCUAAGAGGAUGGCCAGCCACACUGGAACUGAGACACGGUCCAGACUCCUACGGGAGGCAGCAGUGGGGAAUCUUGCGCAAUGGGCGAAAGCCUGACGCAGCGACGCCGCGUGGGUGACGAAGGCCUUCGGGUUGUAAAGCCCUGUGGGGUAGAACGAACUGGCAUCGGGCUAAUAUCCCGGUGUCUUGACGGUACUGCCUUAGCAAGCAUCGGCUAACUCUGUGCCAGCAGCCGCGGUAAGACAGAGGAUGCGAACGUUGCUCGGAUUUACUGGGCGUAAAGCGCGUGUAGGCGGUCUCGUUAGUCGGGUGUGAAAGCCCCGGGCUCAACCCGGGAAGUGCACCCGAUACUGCGAGACUGGGGUACUGAAGAGGAGAGCGGAAUUCCCGGUGUAGAGGUGAAAUUCGUAGAUAUCGGGAGGAACACCAGUGGCGAAGGCA